GAUGAACGCUGGCGGCGUGCCUAAUACAUGCAAGUCGAGCGAACGGACGAAGCUUGCUUCUCUGAUGUUAGCGGCGGACGGGUGAGUAACACGUGGAUAACCUACCUAUAAGACUGGGAUAACUUCGGGAAACCGGAGCUAAUACCGGAUGAUAUUUUGAACCGCAUGGUUCAAAAGUUAAAGACGGUCUUGCUGUCACUUAUAGAUGGAUCCGCGCUGCAUUAGCUAGUUGGUAAGGUAACGGCUUACCAAGGCAACGAUGCAUAGCCGACCUGAGAGGGUGAUCGGCCACACUGGAACUGAGACACGGUCCAGACUCCUACGGGAGGCAGCAGUAGGGAAUCUUCCGCAAUGGGCGAAAGCCUGACGGAGCAACGCCGCGUGAGUGAUGAAGGUCUUCGGAUCGUAAAACUCUGUUAUUAGGGAAGAACAUAUGUGUAAGUAACUGUGCACAUCUUGACGGUACCUAAUCAGAAAGCCACGGCUAACUACGUG
rnacentral:rRNA from 1 species